UGAACACUUAUUUCUUAAACAAGACAGACAAAUAUAUAGAAUUACAUUAUAAAAAUCUUUAAAACCCAAAAGACAUCAGUGAAAACUAACUCAAAAAUAAAUAUCAUGCUAAAAUACAAAAGCACUACAUAGUACUCUUUUUGGUGAAUUUGUUCAAUGCUAAAAAGAAAUAUUUCACCUGUACAGUUAUCAUAUACUGAACAUUGUACGUUUUAGCAACCAUUAUAAGCAGGGAAGGGAUAAAAUAACUAGGUUUUAUUUGUGAUCUACAAUAGACUGUUAUCUCAUUCAGGCAGGGGAUCAUCAUAAGAAAACCCAUGUAAACAUAACUAAUUAUACUUCCAGAAACACUAUACUUUAAUCUUCACAGCUGACAUCAGUUUGACAUGAGCACAAAGGAUUCGUGUCAUGAAAACUUCUGUCAGACUGAAAAGGGGAAACUUUACACUAAAGAUGAAAAUUUGAAUUAAAGAGAGUUUAGAUUUUACCAUCCACUACAUGCAUGAAUGUAAGUGUUUACAUAGCUUUACUUCUUCAAGAAUUUCUGAUAAGGUUGAUUUUAUUUCUGUUACUGCACAGUCUGUUUGCUGGAAGACUUUUUUUAUUAACAAGACCAGAAUAAAAACAGUCCACCAAGUGUCCACAAAAGUUUAUAUUGUUUAUACUUAAAGCUUCAUUAACAGUGAGUAAAUCUACCUCUUUGUUUAAAACUGUGAUAGUUUGAUCUACUGCACAAACAGCCUCAAUCCCAACACUGCCUCAAAGCCAUAAAGGCAUUUCUUUUUUUUCAGCGGAGUACACUGUGUCUUGUAGAUUAAACCAGCUCUCACUGGGCCCAUUGAAUUGAAUUAAAGUUAUGUGGGAGGGGGAUGUUUGAACAGCUAAUAGCUAUGGGUCAUUUCUGGCAUCAGACCUGUUGGUUGGCUGCAGCUAUUUCCUCAUCACUAGGUGAAACGCCUUCACAGAGAGGCGGGGGAGAGGGCGCUGUGAGUGUGAAACAGUCAUCUGUUGUGCGUAUGGGCAUGAGUAAACAGUGUAAUCAUCUUUGAGGCAGUAAUUAUGUGCUCCAGCGUUGGCCGGGCGGUGGCGGUGGCGGCUGCGGGCCCACCCUGCUUCAGACAGCAGGUGCAGUUCACCAUCUGACAGCUGACUCCUAUGGAAGGUGUGAUCCAAUUCUCCCGAGGCUGGGUCGACCCAGUGCAGACCUUCAGGCGGUCAGGGCCAAAGCCAACAAACCAGCAAACCUCUGACACAGGAGGGGAGGGAAAACAACAUGGAGGAGGUGGAGACAGACUGAUGAAGGAUGGAUGCCUCAACUCUGUUUUCACUCACAGGAGUUGGAUAGAUGUGCUGUCUUUUUUUUUUCUGUGAGGGUCAGGAGCUGGUUGGAGAUGGAGACGGAGGCUCUGGGUUCAGAGGGGGGCUCAUGGUGACCUUGUGAUUUAUGGUGCAGCACUGGAGGAGCAGAUCAGAAUACAGCUGCCCCAUCACUGCACACAAACAUGUGUAUACCAGACUCAUGCAUGACCUUAGCUCUCAUAUGUAGUCACUGGUAGUCUGCAUACAAAUCAAUGAAGCUUUGACUGAAUGUUUUCUGGCUGUUAGACUAAGAAAAAAUUAAUAAAACAAAUGUAUCUGCAUUUCUUUUCUUUUGUGUAUAAUAGGCUUCUGUCUGUGAAUCCAGGGAUUAUGUGCGUAAAAAUGUGAUGCUUGUUGCAGCUAACUGGCUUUUGCAGCUCAUUCUGAAUGGCAUGAAGUGAUGUAGAAAAUGAGCUAGAUGAAGAGGA